UUACCUAGGUGCGUCUUAUUUCAUUACGUAACCAGAUAUAAUAUUUUAUAAUCAUUUCAUAGUUAGGUAGGUCUGUAAUCCUUAUCUCCUAUGUAAAGACAAUUAUUGCGCGAUGAAAAUAAUAAGUACAACCUACAUUUAGAAACAAAUAUCUCUGUGCAUGACGUUUAGUUUAGCGAUAGUAUGAGUAUACACAAUUUCUUUAGAGAACAUUGCAAUGAAUCUAGCAGAAAGUUAACAAAAUUAGUUAAAGAUAUGGAAACUUUUAAUCGAGAGUUAACUAAAAUAAAGCUGAAGCUAUCUACCCUCGAGAUACAAAUGUCGGCCAUGAAGAUAAUAUACAAGGAUAUCAUGGAACUGAGGAAAUUGGUGAUAGUCUUGCACCCAUAUUUGAAACCUUUAUCAUCUUAAAAAACUAUCGAAUUAUAAUUAUCUACUUCAGGGCGUAUUCGCAUGGACCCUCGGCCGGGAUGCACCUGAGGCCACCCGGAAAGAGCAGCGACCCUGACACUCGUGCGCUGUGACAGUCGAAAGAGCAAUAGUGGGGAACGUAAUUUGAUAAUCGCGUUGCUCUUGGUCGAGCCAAAGUGAUCCAUCGUUGACAGUUGACACGUAGAGGACGUAAUUGGCGCUCUUGUGAUUUGUUAAGGCAUCUGCACACCGACAUAAUAUGCAUUGAUCUUGUAUUUUAUAUUAUUAUCGCAUUAAUUAUCUUAACGACGCGCUUGGGUGAUCUUGAUUAAACUCAAAAUGUUAUUUGUAAAUCACAAUAUUGUUAUUAGUUAGCUAAGUAUCUCAGAAUUGAGAGUUUUUUGAAUUACUUACUUGAAUAAUUUUCUUUCUUUUCAUUUAUCUUUUGAUUACUUUUGACUUCGUUUACUGUAUGAUUUAGAUAUUUAUUCACUUAGUUAUGAGAUUUUGUAAUUAAAUUUAUUUGGUCCAUAUUUUUCAUAUUUUACAAAAAAAUGAGAUACCUAUGAGCUUAUGUAAAAUUACUGACUUUGAUUGAAAGGUUAUCUUUUGCGCCGUCCCAGAAGUGUUCAUAAAUAAAUUGCGUGAUCUCCA